rnacentral:rRNA from 1 species
AGAGUUUGAUCCUGGCUCAGAUUGAACGCUGGCGGCAUGCCUUACACAUGCAAGUCGAACGGCAGCGCGGGGCAACCUGGCGGCGAGUGGCGAACGGGUGAGUAAUAUAUCGGAACGUACCCUGGAGUGGGGGAUAACGUAGCGAAAGUUACGCUAAUACCGCAUACGAUCUAAGGAUGAAAGUGGGGGAUCGCAAGACCUCAUGCUCCUGGAGCGGCCGAUAUCUGAUUAGCUAGUUGGCGGGGUAAAAGCCCACCAAGGCAACGAUCAGUAGCUGGUCUGAGAGGACGACCAGCCACACUGGAACUGAGACACGGUCCAGACUCCUACGGGAGGCAGCAGUGGGGAAUUUUGGACAAUGGGCGCAAGCCUGAUCCAGCAAUGCCGCGUGAGUGAAGAAGGCCUUCGGGUUGU